rnacentral:rRNA from 1 species
UACGUAGGUGGCAAGCGUUUGUCCGGAAUUAUUGGGCGUAAAGCGCACGUAGGCGGUUCGUUAAGUCGGAUGUGAAAGCCCUCGGCUCAACUGAGGAAGUGCGCCCGAAACUGCAGAGCUUGAGUGCCGGAGAGGGUGGCGGAAUUCCCCAAAGUAGAGGUGAAAUUCGUAGAUAUGGGGAGGAACACCGAUGGCGAAGGCAGGUCUCUGGGCCACUACUGACGCUGAGAGCGAAAGCAUGGGGAGCGAACAGG